ACGGGAGGCAGCAGUGGGGGAUAUUGCGCAAUGGGGGCAACCCUGACGCAGCAACGCCGCGUGAAGGAUGAAGGUUUUCGGAUUGUAAACUUCUUUUAUUAAGGACGAAAAUUGACGGUACUUAAUGAAUAAGCUCCGGCUAACUACGUGCCAGCAGCCGCGGUAAUACGUAGGGAGCAAGCGUUGUCCGGAUUUACUGGGUGUAAAGGGUGCGUAGGCGGCUUUGCAAGUCAGAUGUGAAAUCUAUGGGCUCAACCCAUAAACUGCAUUUGAAACUGUAGAGCUUGAGUGAAGUAGAGGCAGGCGGAAUUCCCCGUGUAGCGGUGAAAUGCGUAGAGAUGGGGAGGAACACCAGUGGCGAAGGCGGCCUGCUGGGCUUUAACUGACGCUGAGGCACGAAAGCGUGGGUAGCAAACAGGAUUAGAUACCCUGGUAGUCCACGCUGUAAACGAUGAUUACUCGGUGUGGGGGGUCUGCACCCCUUCCGUGUCC
rnacentral:rRNA from 1 species